AUUGAACGCUGGCGGCAGGCUUAACACAUGCAAGUCGAGCGAGCGGCGGACGGGUGAGUAAUGUCUGGGCAACUGCCUGAUGGAGGGGGAUAACUACUGGAAACGGUAGCUAAUUCCGCAUACCAUCAGAUGUGCCCAGUUGGGAUUAGCUAGUAGGUGGGGUAAUGGCUCACCGAGGCGACGAUCCCUAGCUGGUCUGAGAGGAUGACCAGCCCAACGGGAACUGAGACAGGGUCCAGACUCCAACGGGAGGAAGCAGUGGGGAAUAUUGGACAAUGGGGGCAAGCUGGAUGAAGCCAUGCCGGGUGUGGGAAGAAGGCCUUCGGGUGGUAAAGCACUUUCAGCGAGGAGGCGUUACUCGCAGAAGAAGCACCGGCUAACUCCGUGCCAGCAGCCGCGGUAAUAC
rnacentral:rRNA from 1 species